GACGAACGCUGGCGGCGUGCCUAACACAUGCAAGUCGAGCGGGGUUGAGGCGAGAGGUAACUCGAGCUUCUACCUAGCGGCGGACGGGUGAGUAACGCGUGGGCAACCUGCCUCAAGGUCUGGGAUAACAGCUCGAAAGGGCUGCUAAUACCGGAUAUGCCUAUAGCCUCGCAUGGGGCUAUGAGCAAAGGGGAAACCCGCCUUGAGAUGGGCCCGCGUCCCAUCAGCUAGUUGGUGAGGUGAAGGCUCACCAAGGCGACGACGGGUAGCCGGCCUGAGAGGGUGACCGGCCACACUGGGACUGAGACACGGCCCAGACUCCUACGGGGGGCAGCAGUGGGGAAUCUUGCACAAUGGGCGAAAGCCUGAUGCAGCGACGCCGCGUGAGCGAAGAAGGCCUUCGGGUUGUAAAGCUCUGUCUGGAGGGACGAAGAAAGUGACGGUACCUCCGGAGGAAGCCACGGCUAACUACGUG
rnacentral:rRNA from 1 species